rnacentral:rRNA from 1 species
UACAGAGGGUGCGAGCGUUUAAUCGGAAUUACUGGGCGUAAAGCGCGCGUAGGCGGCUUUGCAAGUCGGGUGUGGAAAUCCCCAGGCUUAAACCUGGGAACUGCAUUCGAGACUGCAUUGCUAGAGUAUGGGAGAGGGAAGUGGAAUUUCCGGUGUAGCGGUGAAAUGCGCAGAUAUCAGGAGGAACACCGGUGGCGAAGGCGGCAUCCUGGACCGGCAUUGACGCUGAGGAGCGAAAGCCAGGGGAGCAAACGGG